rnacentral:rRNA from 1 species
UAUCUCUGUAGAGUCUGCAUAUCAAUAAGCGGAGGAAAAGAAACUAACUAAGGAUUCCCCUCAGUAACGGCGAGUGAAGCGGGAAGAGCUCAAAUUUGAAAUCUUCAAGGUUCUACCUUGACGAAUUGUAGUUUAAAGAAGUGUUUUCUGUUAGGUGUAUUGGCUAAAAGUUCUCUGGAAUAGGACAUCAUAGAGGGUGAGAAUCCCGUAUUUGGUACCAUUCCUUUCCUAGCUUUGUGAUACACUUUCAAAGAGUCGGAUUGUUUGGGAAUGCAGUCCAAAAUGGGUGGUAAAUUUCAUCUAAAGCUAAAUAUUGGCGAGAGACCGAUAGCGAACAAGUACCGUGAGGGAAAGAUGAAAAGAACUUUGAAAAGAGAGUUAAACAGUACGUGAAAUUGUCAAAAGGGAAGCGUUUGACACCAGUGUUGUUUUUCCGAAAAUCAAUUAUAAAUGUUUUGUUUCUGUGGAGUGAUGACUUCAUCGGCUUCCUUCUCUCUUCACGAAACUUUUGUAAUGCACUUUUCGGUUAACAAGUCAACAUCAAUUUCUUUUGUUGUAAAAGAGUAUUCGGAAGGUGGCUUUCUUUUCGGAGAAAGUGUUUAUAGCCCUAUACUUCUACAAUCGGAGAGAUUGAGGUCUGCAGCGUAGAUCCUUCGGGGUUAGAUACAUUUGUGCUAAGUUAUAGCUUUUCAUAGACAACUUGUUGACUAUGUUUAGUCUUGUAGCUUACUCGCUUAUGCUAUUUUACCUACGCUUAGGAUGUUGACGAUCAGCUGAGCGCG